GUAAAAAUUCAACCACCAGUUCUGCAUGAUGUAUCAGAGGCUAAAGGAACAAGGUUUGCUUCAGUAAUGUUGACAGCAUUAGGCUCAGGAACUACUGAGGUGGCCUACUCUAGCCUAGUG
ensembl:snoRNA SNORA66 Small nucleolar RNA SNORA66